UCUGAAUCUGAUACAUGCUGAUGUAUUGGAUCUAUGAACAUGUUUGUCAUAAAUUUAGAUUAUUUAAAAUAUUUAAAUAAUUUCAUAAUAAGAUAGAAAAAUAAAUUGAGAAGAGCAUUGAAACUCUUCGAUCAGACCAAAGAGGAGAAUACCCUUUCAGUGAGUUUUUGACAUAUCUAGAAGAGACUAAGGAUUUUUUCUUAUUAGAAUUAGACAUAGUUCGAUCCAUG
rnacentral:lncRNA from 1 species